GGUUCCCGCCAGGGAUCGAACCUGGGACCUUGUGCGUGUGAAGCACACGUGAUAACCGCUACACCACGGAAAC
rnacentral:tRNA from 1 species